rnacentral:rRNA from 1 species
UACGUAGGGUGCAAGCGUUGUCCGGAAUUAUUGGGCGUAAAGAGCGUGUAGGCGGCCCGACCAGUCCGCUGUGAAAGUCCAGGGCUCAACCCUGGAAUGCCGGUGGAUACUGUCGGGCUAGAGUCCGGAAUGGGCGAGUGGAAUUCCUGGUGUAGCGGUGAAAUGCGCAGAUAUCAGGAGGAACACCAAUGGCGAAGGCAGCUCGCUGGGACGUGACUGACGCUGAGACGCGAAAGCGUGGGGGGCAAACAGG